rnacentral:rRNA from 1 species
CCUACGGGAGGCAGCAGUGAGGAAUAUUGGUCAAUGGGCGGAAGCCUGAACCAGCCAAGUCGCGUGAGGGAUUAAGGCCCUGCGGGUCGUAAACCUCUUUUGCCGGGGAGCAGAGGUCCGGACGUGUCCGGGCCGGGAGAGUACCCGGAGAAAAAGCAUCGGCUAACCCGGUGCCAGCAGCCGCGGUAAUACGGAGGAUGCGAGCGUUACCCGGAUUUAUUGGGUUUAACGGGUACGUAGGCGGGCAUUUAAGCCGGCGGUCAAAUGUCGGGGCUCAACCCCGGCCUGCCGUCGGAACUGGGGGCCUGGAGUGGGCGAGAAGUAGGCGGAAGGCGUGGUGUAGCGGUGAAAUGCAUAGAUAUCACGCAGAACCCCGAUUGCGAAGGCAGCAUACCGGAGCCCGACUGACGCUGAGGCACGAAAGUGCGGGUAUCGAACAGGAUUAGAUACCCUUGUAGUC